AACGAACGCUGGCGGCAGGCUUAACACAUGCAAGUCGAGGGGAAACGAUAUUGGAAGCUUGCUUCCGAUAGGCGUCGACCGGCGCACGGGUGAGUAACGCGUAUCCAACCUGCCCACCACUUGGGGAUAACCUUGCGAAAGUAAGACUAAUACCCAAUGAUAUCCAGAGAAGACAUCUGAAAUGGAUUAAAGAUUUAUCGGUGAUGGAUGGGGAUGCGUCUGAUUAGCUUGUUGGCGGGGUAACGGCCCACCAAGGCGACGAUCAGUAGGGGUUCUGAGAGGAAGGUCCCCCACAUUGGGACUGAGACACGGUCCAAACUCCUACGGGAGGCAGCAGUGAGGAAUAUUGGUCAAUGGGCGAGAGCCUGAACCAGCCAAGUAGCGUGCAGGAUGACGGCCCUAUGGGUUGUAAACUGCUUUUAUAAGGGAAUAAAGUGGGAGUCGUGACUCCUUUUGCAUGUACCUUAUGAAUAAGGACCGGCUAAUUCCGUGCCAGCAGCCGCGGUAAGAC
rnacentral:rRNA from 1 species